rnacentral:rRNA from 1 species
GAUGAACGCUGGCGGCGUGCCUAAUACAUGCAAGUCGAGCGAACGGACGAGAAGCUUGCUUUUCUGAUGUUAGCGGCGGACGGGUGAGUAACACGUGGAUAACCUACCUAUAAGACUGGGAUAAUUUCGGGAAACCGGAGCUAAUACCGGAUAAUAUUUUGAACCGCAUGGUUCAAAAGUGAAAGACGGUCUUGCUGUCACUUAUAGCUGGAUCCGCGCUGCAUUAGCUAGUUGGUAAGGUAACGGCUUACCAAGGCAACGAUGCAUAGCCGACCUGAGAGGGUGAUAGGCCACACUGGAACUGAGACACGGUCCAGACUCCUACGGGAGGCAGCAGUAGGGAAUCUUCCGCAAUGGGCGAAAGCCUGACGGAGCAACGCCGCGUGAGUGAUGAAGGUCUUCGGAUCGUAAAACUCUGUUAUUAGGGAAGAACAGAUGUGUAAGUAACUGUGCACAUCUUGACGGUACCUAAUCAGAAAGCCACGGCUAACUACGUG